rnacentral:rRNA from 1 species
CCUACGGGAGGCAGCAGUGGGGAAUAUUGCACAAUGGGGGAAACCCUGAUGCAGCGACGCCGCGUGAGUGAUGAAGUAAUUCGUUAUGUAAAGCUCUUUUAGUAGGGAAGAAAAUGACGGUACCUGAGUAAUAAGCCCCGGCUAACUCCGUGCCAGCAGCCGCGGUAAUACGGAGGGGGCAAGCGUUAUCCGGAUUUACUGGGUGUAAAGGGAGCGUAGACGGGAUGGCAAGUCUGAAGUGAAAGGCGGGGGCUCAACCACCGAACUGCACUGGAAACUGUAAGGCUGGAGUGCAGGAGAGGUAAGUGGAAUUCCUGGUGUAGCGGUGAAAUGCGUAGAUAUUAGGAGGAACACCAAUGGCGAAGGCGGCUUACUAGACUGUAACUGACGUUGAUGCUCGAAAGCGUGGGGAGCAAACAGGAUUAGAUACCCUAGUAGUC